CACUCGUUCAUUUCGUAUCCAGUCGCCUGUCAAGUAAAUUUUUAAGGAGUCUAGAAGAGGAAACACCUAGAAUAAUAUAUAUUAUUGAUCUGUCACGAUAAUGGAAAUCAUCUUCUUAAACAAGAUCCACUCGUUAGACACUCAUGCAAAGCACAAUUACUAAUAAAGGGAGAUGGCACUAUUUUCGCUACUUAUUUGACGGUAAACGGAUUCGAUGUGCAGCAGCGAGAGAAAUUCCAUAUUCAUUCGUCACAGUACAAGGAAAAGUGACAUGUAAACGGAUAAAAAGCCCCGAAUGAUAUAUAUUUUGAUAUUUUUCCGUAUUUACCAUAUGUACUCGGCGCCCUUUCGUAAAUAAAUCAGCAGCAACACGGCAUUUCGUCUCGCAAAUAUGAUGUUCAGAUACAUAUAAAUACUUUAUCAACAUGUAGACAUAUAUGUGAAUAAACAA